UCCACCUAUUCUCGAGACGCCGCCACCCACCUCCCUUUUCUUCAUCGGGAUCUCCUCAUUCCCCCCCGAUCCAAUCCACCAGCCUCUGCCUCUGCUCGAUCUCCACCGCAAGCCGCAGCCGCCCCUCCUGCUCCCUCCUCGAUCUAGAUCGAGAGGGGUUCGAUCCCCUGCCUCUGCCCGAGCUCCUCCCGCAGCACCCCAUCACCCUCGACCCUGCCUCGUCGGCCGGUCGACACCGGCGACAGGAACAUCGCCGGAGAUGAGUGCCCCGACAGCCCCGCGACCCCUCCUCCCCCUCCUGCGAUUUCCCCCCUCUCUCUCUCUCACGGUGGCCAUCUCUCUCUCUCCUUCACAGGAACGAGCAGGAGCUCGCCAAGCUCCAUGGCGCCGCCUCCUCUGCUUCUUCCCGCGCGCAUGAGCCCAACGGGAGAGGAGCUCCUCCAUGCCGUGUCUGCCUCCCUCCGCCUGCCAAUUCCCUGAACCGCCAGGUCCGCAGGAGCCAAGCUCGUCGACGGCUUCCUCCAGGUCCGGCCGGACUCCCUCCAACCAGCGCCUCCCCGCCGCCUUGCACGCCCACGCCACCGGCGACCAGGACCAGGCCGUCCCCGGGAGAACAGGAACAAGCCCGCCAUGGCCGUGCCUGACCUGCGCCAAGCUCCGCCGCCUCCCUGCCAAGUCCGUUCCGCCGGAGUCCCUUGAAGCAGCCGCGCUGGAUCUCAUCUCCAGCCCCGUCCGCGACCUCCCCGACCCGUGCCGCCGCGAGCCACCUCCUUCCCUUGGAUCCUCGCCGCCUUCGCCCUGCUCGCCUCCUCUGCUUCGUUGGAGUAGGGAGGACGACGCACCUCUGCUCGCUGCGUUGACCGCGCCUUCCUCGCCUACGUGGACCGCGACCACGACUUAGGCCCAGCGCGCCAGCCUCCCUUGCCGGCCUCACCUCACCGUCGAACCGGGCCGUGGCCCAUGUUGUGAGGACUCGUUCGACUACGUCCGUUUGUCUUCUUCAUGGACUCGUUCUUCUUCCU